rnacentral:rRNA from 1 species
GAUGAACGCUGGCGGCGUGCCUAAUACAUGCAAGUCGAACGAGGUGCUUUUGUAGCAAUACGAGAGUAUCCUAGUGGCGAACGGGUGAGUAACGCGUGGAUGACCUGCCCCAAAGUGUGGGAUAACAGUCCGAAAGGAUUGCUAAUACCUCAUGUGGUUAUCGGUUUUAGAAAGCGAUAACUAAAGCAGCAAUGCGCUUUGGGAGGGAUCUGCGUCCCAUCAGCUAGUUGGUGAGGUAACGGCUCACCAAGGCGACGACGGGUAGGGGACCUGAGAGGGUGGCUCCCCACAAUGGAACUGAAACACGGUCCAUACACCUACGGGUGGCAGCAGUAGGGAAUAUUGCUCAAUGGGCGAAAGCCUGAAGCAGCAACGCCGCGUGUGCGAUGAAGGCC